rnacentral:rRNA from 1 species
UGCUCCGCCCCACCGCUUGGUGGGGGGGAAAAUGUUUUUUGCGGUGUGGGAGGGGGUCGCGUCCUAUCAUCUUGUUGGGGGGGUGAUGGCCCACCAACGCUUUGACGGGUAGCCGGCCAGAGAGGGAGACCGCACACUUUGGGACAGAUAUACCCCCCACACUCCUACGGGAGGCAGCAGUGGAAAAUAUUGCACAGUGGGCGCAAGCCUGAUGCAGCCACCCCGCGUGCGGGAUGGACGCCUUCGGUUUAUAAACCUUUUUUGUUCAAGGGCAAGGCACGGUUUCCGGCCUUGUUGAGUGUAUUGUUCUAAUAACCACCGGCUAACUACCUGCCAGCAGCCGCGGUAAUACGUAGGGAGCGAUCGUUAUCCUGAUUUAUUGGGCGUAAAGGGCUCGUAGGCGGUUCGUCUCGUCCGGUGUAAAACUCCAUCUCCUAACGGAGGAUCUGCGCCUGGUACGGGCGGGCUGGAGUGCGGUAGGGGAGACUGGAAUUCCCGGUGUAACGGUGGAAUGUGUAGAUAUCGGGAAGAACACCAAUGGCGAAGGCAGGUCUCUGGGCCGUUACUGACGCUGAGGAGCGAAAGCGUGGGGAGCGAACAGGAUUAGAUACCCUGGUAGUCCACGCCGUAAACGGUGGAUGCUGGAUGUGGGGCCCUUUCCACGGGUCCUGUGUCGGAGCCAACGCGUUAAGCAUCCCGCCUGGGGAGUACGGCCGCAAGGCUAAAACUCAAAGAAAUUGACGGGGGCCCGCACAAGCGGCGGAGCAUGCGGAUUAAUUCGAUGCAACGCGAAGAACCUUACCUGGGCUUGACAUGUGCCGGAUCGCCCCGGAGACGGGGUUUCCCUUCGGGGCGGGUUCACAGGUGGUGCAUGGUCGUCGUCAGCUCGUGUCGUGAGAUGUUGGGUUAAGUCCCGCAACGAGCGCAACCCUCGCCGCAUGUUGCCAGCGGGUUAUGCCGGGAACUCAUGUGGGACCGCCGGGGUCAACUCGGAGGAAGGUGGGGAUGACGUCAGAUCAUCAUGCCCCUUACGUCCAGGGCUUCACGCAUGCUACAAUGGCCGGUACAACGGGAUGCGACACGGUGACGUGGGGCGGAUCCCUGAAAACCGGUCUCAGUUCGGAUCGCAGUCUGCAACUCGACUGCAUAAAGGCGGAGUCGCUAGUAAUCGCGGAUCAGCAACGC